ensembl:lncRNA
AGAACCUUUGAGAGCAAAUGCUAAGGGGCAUCAGAGCUGAUCUGCUUACAGACAGGGAGGCUCCGAGGAACCGGCUGAGUAGUUUAACAACAGGAGGGGAGAAGCCAAGGGGGCCCAAGUGGCAAUAAUAGAGCAGAUUUAUCACUCGAUUCCUGAGAUUUAUUUUAGAGGAGUGAAAAAUGAAGGGCGGAGACCUGAAAGAGGACAGAAUCUUUUCGGAGCAACAGAACAUGAAUAUCUGUUAUAAAUCUUCCACCUUUAAUUACUCUUAAAGGUGGUUAUGAAUUUAAUACUUGUAUAGGGCUUGGCUUUUGAGAAAGUAGACAGUUAUAAAGGGACUGAUGAUACAUACAGAAUGACUUUCAAAAGGAAUACACAGGCUGCAUGCCCUGUCCUUAAAAUGGAGACAGGACCCCAUCAAGGAUAUUAUGGCCUCUUACUAGAUCAGUACAUAGCGGGGCUCUGUGAUCACAAUUCAGAGGACCUAAAGCAUUAGAAACUGAAAAGAUGAAGAAGAAAAGAACUGUGAAUAUAGGGCAACAAGCAUGGUGGUCGGGCUCCAGAUAACUGCUCUUGUCCUUGCUCCACUACUGAUUGGCUCUGUGACCUUGAACAAGUCACUUCACCUUAAAGAAACUGCUUCUUCGUUUGAAAAUGGAGUCAUCACAUUUAUCUGCUCUAAGCGAGCUUCACCAGCAGCAGGCAAGGUCUGUAACACACUAGGAAACUAAGAGAGACUGUACAAAUCCACAGUAUCUUACAACAGAGAAUCAUCCUUUUCACCCUCCGGUGGCAUCAAGCUCAACAGUUUACCAGUCUGCACAGCUUCUGCCCUGCUCCAGACCUCAAGAUCUUCACUUUGACCACUGCAACUGACUUGUUUUGCCAUUUGAGUGCAUCAUCAACCAGAGCAAUCUUUUCAAAUUGCAAGUGUGGUCAAGUCUCUCCCUUUCUCAUAACCCUUCCCAUCAUUUCUAGAUUACAUUUUAAGAAUGCAGACGACCUUCACAACUUGUCUUCAAACUCCAUAUCCAAGCAUUGCUGACCACUUGCUGUCACAAUCCCUAUAUUGCAGCUAAGUUGAGCUAUUUGAAAUUUCCUCAAGAUACCUUGAUCUCUCAUGACUCCAGGCUGUACUACACACUCAUUUCUUUUUCUGGAGGCCUUUCCCAUUUGACAUGUUCCAACAUAUCCUUCAAGACCCACUUCAAAUACUAUUUUCCCUGAGAAGCUUUCUCCAACUCCCCCAGGCUGUUAAUAUUUCUGUUAUCUUUGAUUUUUAACCUACACAUUUAUUUGUUCACACUUGAAUUUCUGCCAUUUCCCUUAGGAAAAAAAUGUUCCAUAAACUGCUUCUUGAGUUUGAUUCUCUCCUUUUUCAUUUGUAGCCCUGAAUAUUCUACCUUACUGACAGCUCCAAGGUCAGUGCUUUGACCUUGUAAAAACACAGUGUAAAUCAUGUGUUUAAAAAAAAAAAUUUUCAGCAGCUGCUAAAAUCAAAUGAAUUUGGGGUAAAAUGAAUAUGAUUUUUAGGUCAUCAUCUGCUAUAUGGAACAUUUCUUUACCUGUAAGCAAUCUGGCGGGGGAUGGCAAGAGGCAGUAAAUUCACCUGCUUUGGUUAAUUCUGGAGAGUCAGUACCUGAUUGAAAAUUCCCUUCUGUGCCCUCAUGAUGCUCUAUGCACAGCUCUAGCCAAGCUUUUAUCUCCAGACUUCUCAUCACUACUUAUUUCUUAGCCUCCCAGAGAAGGUCCAUGGCCGGGACAAUGGAUCCCUCUUCAUAUUCCCCAGCAGCAAGCCCUGUUUGUGAGACAUGCUUGGUACUCAAUUUAGAAAUGUUCAUUGCAUAAAUAACAGUAGCUAACAUUUGUGGAGGGCUUAUUAUGUGCCAGACAGGCACUGUUCUAAACACCUUCUGUGUAUCAACUCAUCUAAUUCUCAAAAUAACCCUAUAGGAUAGGAAUUAUAAUUAUCCGCAUUUUAAAAAUGAGCAAACAGAAACCCAAAAUAUGUGCAGAAGCUUGAUUUAGAACUUGAGUUCUCGGCAAGAGAGCCAUACCUCCACCACAACAAAAUACUGCCUCUCAUGUUGAAUAAACAAACCAUUUGU